CAGGUUCAGCUGCAGCAGUCUGGGGCUGAGCUAGUGAAGCCUGGAGCCUCAGUGAAGAUGUCCUGCAAGGCUUCUGGCUACACCUUCACUACCUAUCCUAUAGAGUGGAUGAAGCAGAAUCAUGGAAAGAGCCUAGAGUGGAUUGGAAAUUUUCAUCCUUACAAUGAUGAUACUAAGUACAAUGAAAAGUUCAAGGGCAAGGCCACAUUGACUGUAGAAAAAUCCUCUAGCACAGUCUACUUGGAGCUCAGCCGAUUAACAUCUGAUGACUCUGCUGUUUAUUACUGUGCAAGG